UUAAGCGACUAAGCGUACACGGUGGAUGCCCUGGCAGUCAGAGGCGAUGAAGGACGUGCUAAUCUGCGAUAAGCGUCGGUAAGGUGAUAUGAACCGUUAUAACCGGCGAUUUCCGAAUGGGGAAACCCAGUGUGAUUCGUCACACUAUCAUUAACUGAAUCCAUAGGUUAAUGAGGCGAACCGGGGGAACUGAAACAUCUAAGUACCCCGAGGAAAAGAAAUCAACCGAGAUUCCCCCAGUAGCGGCGAGCGAACGGGGAGCAGCCCAGAGCCUGAAUCAGUGUGUGUGUUAGUGGAAGCGUCUGGAAAGGCGUGCGAUACAGGGUGACAGCCCCGUACACAAAAAUGCACAUGCUGUGAGCUCGAUGAGUAGGGCGGGACACGUGGUAUCCUGUCUGAAUAUGGGGGGACCAUCCUCCAAGGCUAAAUACUCCUGACUGACCGAUAGUGAACCAGUACCGUGAGGGAAAGGCGAAAAGAACCCCGGCGAGGGGAGUGAAAAAGAACCUGAAACCGUGUACGUACAAGCAGUGGGAGCACAGAGCAAUCUGUGUGACUGCGUACCUUUUGUAUAAUGGGUCAGCGACUUAUAUUCUGUAGCAAGGUUAACCGAAUAGGGGAGCCGAAGGGAAACCGAGUCUUAACUGGGCGUUAAGUUGCAGGGUAUAGACCCGAAACCCGGUGAUCUAGCCAUGGGCAGGUUGAAGGUUGGGUAACACUAACUGGAGGACCGAACCGACUAAUGUUGAAAAAUUAGCGGAUGACUUGUGGCUGGGGGUGAAAGGCCAAUCAAACCGGGAGAUAGCUGGUUCUCCCCGAAAGCUAUUUAGGUAGCGCCUCGUGAAUUCAUCUCCGGGGGUAGAGCACUGUUUCGGCAAGGGGGUCAUCCCGACUUACCAACCCGAUGCAAACUGCGAAUACCGGAGAAUGUUAUCACGGGAGACACACGACGGGUGCUAACGUCCGUCGUGAAGAGGGAAACAACCCAGACCGCCAGCUAAGGUCCCAAAGUCAUGGUUAAGUGGGAAACGAUGUGGGAAGGCCCAGACAGCCAGGAUGUUGGCUUAGAAGCAGCCAUCAUUUAAAGAAAGCGUAAUAGCUCACUGGUCGAGUCGGCCUGCGCGGAAGAUGUAACGGGGCUAAACCAUGCACCGAAGCUGCGGCAGCGACGCUUAUGCGUUGUUGGGUAGGGGAGCGUUCUGUAAGCCUGCGAAGGUGUGCUGUGAGGCAUGCUGGAGGUAUCAGAAGUGCGAAUGCUGACAUAAGUAACGAUAAAGCGGGUGAAAAGCCCGCUCGCCGGAAGACCAAGGGUUCCUGUCCAACGUUAAUCGGGGCAGGGUGAGUCGACCCCUAAGGCGAGGCCGAAAGGCGUAGUCGAUGGGAAACAGGUUAAUAUUCCUGUACUUGGUGUUACUGCGAAGGGGGGACGGAGAAGGCUAUGUUGGCCGGGCGACGGUUGUCCCGGUUUAAGCGUGUAGGCUGGUUUUCCAGGCAAAUCCGGAAAAUCAAGGCUGAGGCGUGAUGACGAGGCACUACGGUGCUGAAGCAACAAAUGCCCUGCUUCCAGGAAAAGCCUCUAAGCAUCAGGUAACAUCAAAUCGUACCCCAAACCGACACAGGUGGUCAGGUAGAGAAUACCAAGGCGCUUGAGAGAACUCGGGUGAAGGAACUAGGCAAAAUGGUGCCGUAACUUCGGGAGAAGGCACGCUGAUAUGUAGGUGAAGUCCCUCGCGGAUGGAGCUGAAAUCAGUCGAAGAUACCAGCUGGCUGCAACUGUUUAUUAAAAACACAGCACUGUGCAAACACGAAAGUGGACGUAUACGGUGUGACGCCUGCCCGGUGCCGGAAGGUUAAUUGAUGGGGUUAGCGCAAGCGAAGCUCUUGAUCGAAGCCCCGGUAAACGGCGGCCGUAACUAUAACGGUCCUAAGGUAGCGAAAUUCCUUGUCGGGUAAGUUCCGACCUGCACGAAUGGCGUAAUGAUGGCCAGGCUGUCUCCACCCGAGACUCAGUGAAAUUGAACUCGCUGUGAAGAUGCAGUGUACCCGCGGCAAGACGGAAAGACCCCGUGAACCUUUACUAUAGCUUGACACUGAACAUUGAGCCUUGAUGUGUAGGAUAGGUGGGAGGCUUUGAAGUGUGGACGCCAGUCUGCAUGGAGCCGACCUUGAAAUACCACCCUUUAAUGUUUGAUGUUCUAACGUUGACCCGUGAUCCGGGUUGCGGACAGUGUCUGGUGGGUAGUUUGACUGGGGCGGUCUCCUCCUAAAGAGUAACGGAGGAGCACGAAGGUUGGCUAAUCCUGGUCGGACAUCAGGAGGUUAGUGCAAUGGCAUAAGCCAGCUUGACUGCGAGCGUGACGGCGCGAGCAGGUGCGAAAGCAGGUCAUAGUGAUCCGGUGGUUCUGAAUGGAAGGGCCAUCGCUCAACGGAUAAAAGGUACUCCGGGGAUAACAGGCUGAUACCGCCCAAGAGUUCAUAUCGACGGCGGUGUUUGGCACCUCGAUGUCGGCUCAUCACAUCCUGGGGCUGAAGUAGGUCCCAAGGGUAUGGCUGUUCGCCAUUUAAAGUGGUACGCGAGCUGGGUUUAGAACGUCGUGAGACAGUUCGGUCCCUAUCUGCCGUGGGCGCUGGAGAACUGAGGGGGGCUGCUCCUAGUACGAGAGGACCGGAGUGGACGCAUCACUGGUGUUCGGGUUGUCAUGCCAAUGGCACUGCCCGGUAGCUAAAUGCGGAAGAGAUAAGUGCUGAAAGCAUCUAAGCACGAAACUUGCCCCGAGAUGAGUUCUCCCUGACUCCUUGAGAGUCCUGAAGGAACGUUGAAGACGACGACGUUGAUAGGCCGGGUGUGUAAGCGCAGCGAUGCGUUGAGCUAACCGGUACUAAUGAACCGUGAGGCUUAACCUU
rnacentral:rRNA from 1 species